GGGUGAGUAACACGUGGGUAACCUGCCUUAAAGUGGGGGAUAACACUUGGAAACAGGUGCUAAUACCGCAUAACCAUCAAAACCACCUGGUUUUGAUGUUAAAGAUGGUUCUGCUAUCGCUUUAAGAUGGACCCGCGGCGUAUUAGCUAGUUGGUGAGGUAACGGCUUACCAAGGCAAUGAUACGUAGCCGAACUGAGAGGUUGAUCGGCCACAUUGGGACUGAGACACGGCCCAAACUCCUACGGGAGGCAGCAGUAGGGAAUCUUCCACAAUGGACGAAAGUCUGAUGGAGCAACGCCGCGUGAGUGAAGAAGGUUUUCGGAUCGUAAAACUCUGUUGUCAGAGAAGAACGUGUGUGAGAGUAACUGUUCACGCAGUGACGGUAUCUGACCAGAAAGUCACGGCUAACUACGUGCCAGCGGCCGCGGUAAUACGUAGGUGGCAAGCGUUGUCCGGAUUUAUUGGGCGUAAAGGGAACGCAGGCGGUCUUUUAAGUCUGAUGUGAAAGCCUUCGGCUUAACCGAAGUCGGGCAUUGGAGACUGGGAGACUUGAGUGCAGAAGAGGAGAGUGGAACUCCAUGUGUAGCGGUGAAAUGCGUAGAUAUAUGGAAGAACACCAGUGGCGAAAGCGGCUCUCUGGUCUGUAACUGACGCUGAGGUUCGAAAGCGUGGGUAGCAAACAGGAUUAGAUACCCU
rnacentral:rRNA from 1 species